rnacentral:rRNA from 1 species
GUCCACGCCGUAAACGAUGGAAGCUAGCCGUUGGUGGGUUUACCCUUCAGUGGCGCAGCUAACGCAUUAAGCUUCCCGCCUUGGGAGUACGGUCGCAAGAUUAAAACUCAAAGGAAUUGACGGGGGCCCGCACAAGCGGUGGAGCAUGUGGUUCAAUUCGAAGCAACGCGAAGAACCUUACCAGCCCUUGACAUCCCGAUCGCGGAGAGCAGAGACGCACUCCUUCAGUUCGGCUGGAUCGGAGACAGGUGCUGCAUGGCUGUCGU